rnacentral:rRNA from 1 species
GAUGAACGCUGGCGGCGUGCCUAAUACAUGCAAGUCGAGCGAACAGACGAGGAGCUUGCUCCUCUGACGUUAGCGGCGGACGGGUGAGUAACACGUGGAUAACCUACCUAUAAGACUGGGAUAACUUCGGGAAACCGGAGCUAAUACCGGAUAAUAUAUUGAACCGCAUGGUUCAAUAGUGAAAGACGGUUUUGCUGUCACUUAUAGAUGGAUCCGCGCCGCAUUAGCUAGUUGGUAAGGUAACGGCUUACCAAGGCGACGAUGCGUAGCCGACCUGCGAGGGUGAUCGGCCACACUGGAACUGAGACACGGUCCAGACUCCUACGGGAGGCAGCAGUAGGGAAUCUUCCGCAAUGGGCGAAAGCCUGACGGAGCAACGCCGCGUGAGUGAUGAAGGUCUUCGGAUCGUAAAACUCUGUUAUUAGGGAAGAACAAAUGUGUAAGUAACUAUGCACGUCUUGACGGUACCUAAUCAGAAAGCCACGGCUAACUACGUG